AAAAGAGAGAUCAAAAUAGCGACUGAAAUCUGCCAAGAUUCCGAACAUUACAAUUACUUCAUGACAAAUCAAGUUCAGGCUUGCGACAAGUUCUUCGAUACAAGAGGGGUACUAACUCGAGGUUAACCUAUUACAUCACCAUCCAAAACAUAGGUUGCCGAGGAGUAAAAAAAAGAGACAGACUCAAAACAACAAACACCUAAAAGUCAUCUAAGUGCCCACGGAGGCAGCGCUGUGCGCCGGAGAAGGAGCGUCACCAACUCGGGGCGGAGACUGAACGCCCUCAAAGUCCAUACUCGAGACACCCUUGAUCUCCUUGGGGUCUUCCUCCUCCUCCUCCAUCGGCUCAUUCUCCUCCUGUUGCUCAAGCGCGUGAAUCGCAUUUAACUCGGCAUGGUGCUCGUCCAAGUGCGCGUUGGCAACAGUCAACUCCAUCUCAACAUCCAACUUCUCCUCUGCGAGUACCUGCAUGUCAUGCUCCAUAUCUGCUACUUCCCCUUCUAGCUCGGUGAUCCGUGUCUCCAUAUUAGAAAUCCGU
rnacentral:lncRNA from 1 species